rnacentral:lncRNA from 1 species
GGUCUUGGUCUGUUGUUAGAAUGUAAGCAAGGAAAAAAUGGAGAGCUUAAUGUAACAUGUGUCGUAGUUGAUCGGACUUUUGCCUCACCCAUCAAUUGUUGCCUUUCCUUUUUCUUUUUCUUUCUUGAGAGGUGGCGCGGUUCAAUGGUUCUCACUUCACAUCUCUCAACCCCGAGCACUGCCGGGUUGGUAGACCUCAUGUCAUACCUAGGUUCAUAUAGUUGAUGGCGAUUCUCUAUUUCGUUCAUCUGAUCUUGCUUUGGAUCGAAGGUUGCAAUCGGUUGGACCUACUGAGUUCAGUCGAAUACGGCCCGAAUCUCACUUUAGUAGUAUGAAAAACCUGACACACAUAUACACACAGAGAUACAAGAUCCUACGGAAUUUAUCUUCAGCAAUCAAUGUCAAACUGGUCCAUAGGAAAUCCCAGAUUGAUCUGGCUAAACUCAGCCUCUUGGAAUCUAAUCAAAUCAUAAACACAUCUUAGUUUGAGUUACCCAAAUAGAACCAGGUUUCCGAGAGCAGU